UACGUAGGGUCCGAGCGUUGUCCGGAAUUACUGGGCGUAAAGAGCUCGUAGGUGGUUUGUCGCGUUGUUCGUGAAAACUCACAGCUCAACUGUGGGCGUGCGGGCGAUACGGGCAGACUAGAGUACUGCAGGGGAGACUGGAAUUCCUGGUGUAGCGGUGGAAUGACGCAGAUAUCAGGAGGAACACCGGUGGCGAAGGCGGGUCUCUGGGCAGUAACUGACGCUGGAGGAGCGAAAGCGUGGGGAGCGAACAGG
rnacentral:rRNA from 1 species